GACGAACGCUGGCGGCGUGCUUAACACAUGCAAGUCGAGCGGAAAGGCCCUUUCGGGGGUACUCGAGCGGCGAACGGGUGAGUAACACGUGAGUAAUCUGCCCUUGGCUUUGGGAUAACCACCGGAAACGGUGGCUAAUACCGGAUAUGACGCGCCCCGGCAUCGGGGUGUGUGGAAAGUUUUUUCGGCCAGGGAUGUGCUCGCGGCCUAUCAGCUCGUUGGUGGGGUAAGGGACUACCAAGGCUUCGACGGGUAGCCGGCCUGAGAGGGUGACCGGCCACACUGGGACUAAGACACGGCCCAGACUCCUACGGGAGGCAGCAGUGGGGAAUAUUGGACAAUGGGCGGAAGCCUGAUCCAGCAACGCCGCGUGAGGGAUGACGGCCUUCGGGUUGUAAACCUCUUUCAGUACCGACGAAGCGCCGAUGAUGGUGGUGACGGUAGGUACAGAAGAAGCACCGGCCAACUACGUGCCAGCAGCCGCCGUAA
rnacentral:rRNA from 1 species